GACGAACGCUGGCGGCGUGCUUAACACAUGCAAGUCGAACGGAAAGGCCCUGCUUGCAGGGUACUCGAGUGGCGAACGGGUGAGUAACACGUGGGUGAUCUGCCCUGCACUUCGGGAUAAGCCUGGGAAACUGGGUCUAAUACCGGAUAGGAGCCAUUUUUAGUGUGAUGGUUGGAAAGUUUUUUCGGUGUAGGAUGAGCUCGCGGCCUAUCAGCUUGUUGGUGGGGUAAUGGCCUACCAAGGCGGCGACGGGUAGCCGGCCUGGGAGGGUGGACGGCCAAAUUGGGACUGAGAUACGGCCCAGACUCCUACGGGAGGCAGCAGUGGGGAAUAUUGCACAAAGGGGGCAAGCCUGAUGCAGCGACGCCGCGUGGGGGAUGACGGCCUUCGGGUUGGAAACUCCUUUCGCUAGGGACGAAGCUUUUUGUGACGGUACCUAGAUAAGAAGCACCGGCUAACUACGUG
rnacentral:rRNA from 1 species